rnacentral:rRNA from 1 species
ACGCUCGACACCUACGGGAGCAGCAGUGGGGAAUAUUGGGCAAUGGGCGAAAGCCUGACCCAGCAACGCCGCGUGAGGGAAGAAGGUUUUCGGAUUGUAAACCUCUGUCCUCAGGGACGAAGGACGUGACGGUACCUGAGGAGGAAGCCCCGGCUAACUACGUGCUAGCAGCCGCGGUAAUCUGAGCGGGCUGGCAAGGC